AAUCUGCUAGUAGGUGACCUGCGGAAGGACAUUA
rnacentral:rRNA from 1 species